UACGUAGGGUGCAAGCGUUGUCCGGAUUUAUUGGGCGUAAAGAGCUCGUAGGCGGUUUUGAAAGUCGGGUGUGAAACCUCCAGCUCAACCUGGAGACGCCACUCGAUACUUCAAUGACUUGAGUUCGGUAGGGGUAAGCGGAAUUCCUGGUGUAGCGGUGAAAUGCGCAGAUAUCAGGAGGAACACCGACGGCGAAGGCAGCUUACUGGGCCGAUACUGACGCUGAGGAGCGAAAGCGUGGGGAGCGAACAGG
rnacentral:rRNA from 1 species